rnacentral:lncRNA from 1 species
GGGACCGCCCUCGUGUCUGUGGCGGUGGGAUCCCGCGGCCGUGUUUUCCUGGUGGCCCGGCCAUGCCUGAGGUUUCUCCCUCAGCCGCCCCUCUGCGGGCUCCCAGACGGAAUGAAGUUGAUAAUAGUGAGACCUUGUUGGUACAAGACUAUGUAACAUAACCUGCGCUUCUCAACAAAGAAUUGCUUUUCUGACUUCUGCACUCAAUAGCAAGACAAAUCUCUCCUCUGCCUUCUCCUUAUCAGACUACUCAACAUGAAGGCAAUAAGAAUGAAGACCUCUAUGUAUAAUAAUUGACUUCCACUUAAUAAAUAAGGUUACUUGGUACACUGGUCGACAAAACCUUGAAAUGUUGAUGUUUAAGGGCUGUUGAUUGCUGGCAGCAAAGAAGUCCAACUGUGCUGGUACCCGAGAUAGCGUCUCCACAUUUUCUUCCAGGAUCAUCACCUUUGUUCUAAAUAGCUCCCACAUAGUGUGAACAGAAGUCAUAUGUUUUAGAUUUUCUGCCUUGGCACCCAGGAAACCAGUAUGAUUGAGUAAACAUAUUAAACUUCCUCUGCAUUUCCAGCCUGAACAGAUGUUGAGUACAAGCUGAUCCACCUACGUUCAACCUGAGAGAGUCCACAUCCACAGACUGUUUCAUUUCCCUUUUUCAAUUUACAUAGAAGCAUAGAUUCUUGCUGGCAUAUACAAAUGCGCCAUUUAAGGCAAUCAAAAAUGGUUCCACAUCUCAUCUGAUUUCCACAAUUGUUGCUGUAACGAUGGACUACUGAGGAGAGAGACAAUUUCUCUGGCACAUCUUCCCACAUUUUAGCAACAUGUUCAUGGAGAGCCAAUAUUCAGUAAUUACAGCCCAAUUCCUCACAAUUUCACAAUUCGCUAACAAUAUGCAUUUUCACAAUGUAAAGCUGAUUUUCCUUUAACCAAAUCAAACAUGAAAAGAUAGCUGCAUGCAAUGGGCAAUCUAGAUCAUUAGAAGAUUGAUGUAAAAUUAGAGGACACUGAGACUGGAAUAGAUUGCAAACUUCAGGGAGCUCAGAAAACUUGUAAACUCUACAUUUUGAGGAAAUAUGUUGUCGAUGCUUUUGCAACUCUAUGCAGUAACUUAACAAAUAAAGCCUUAAAGUAACUUAU